UCCCCAGUGGUUCAGAUGGUAAAGUGUCUGCCUGCAAUGCGGGAGACCUGGGUUCGAUUCCUGGGUCGGGAA
rnacentral:tRNA from 1 species